GACGAACCGUGCGAACGUUGUUCGGAAUCACUGGGCUUAAAGGGCGCGUAGGCGGUCUGCCAAGUCUGGGGUGAAAUCCUCCGGCUCAACCGGAGAACGGCCUCGGAUACUGGCGGUCUCGAGGGAGGUAGGGGCGUGCGGAACUAAGGGUGGAGCGGUGAAAUGCGUUGAUAUCCUUAGGAACUCCGGUGGCGAAGGCGGCACGCUGGACCUCUUCUGACGCUGAGGCGCGAAAGCCAGGGGAGCAAACGGGAUUAGAUACCCCGGUAGUCCUGGCCCUAAACGUUGAGAACUAGGUAGUAGGCUUGACAUGGGCUUACUGCCGAAGCAAAAGUGCUAAGUUCUCCGCCUGGGGAGUAUGGUCGCAAGGCUGAA
rnacentral:rRNA from 1 species